ACCACCUCAGUGUCCCAGGUAGCUGGGAUCACAGGUGCAAUCCACAUGCCUGGCUUGGACAUUUUUUAAAGAAAGAAUUUUAGUUUUGAAAAUAGUUUCUGAAUUAAGAGUGAUUCUCUAGAUCCAUCAUUAUGAGAAAACCGGUUUGUUAGUCAAUAAAUAGACAUUUCAAAAUAAUACAAUUUUAAUUAUUUGUGGUACCCACUUUCACUCUCAGAAGUGUCUUGGUGUGAAUGAUAAAUUAUAUGGCUAUGAUAUUUAUUAAUAGCUUUUGUGAAUCUUUAGGUUUGAAACAUGGUAGAAUUCCAGAUGUUGAGAUGAGAUGGAAAAGGCUUGGAAGCCCAGCAGCUUAGCCCCUGGGAGCUUCCUUCGCUCCUCCAGCUUGAUACUCAGUUCCUGUUGUGCCUUAGUGAUGUCCAGCUACCAUGUCCCGCUUUCUUAAUUGAGUAGCUCCACUCCAACCUGGACAGUAGUCUGUUCAGGACUGGUCCCCUGACUGUGGAGGCAAUCACAAUUUUUGCCAGGGAAUUUUGGAUUUAAGACUAAGAGUACUGUCUGUCUUCAGUGGCUGAAGCUGUAGGAUGCGAUGCCUGAGCACAUUGAACGAUCAUGUUUCUCAACUUUGCACUUGAGAAGCAGAGCUGGCCAGCCUGCAAACAGAAAAGGAAGACAGCACAUGCAGAAUGAAAAUGGCAUUUGUUUGAUAUCCUGAGUGUUUUUUUCCCAAGGCUCCCCUUCAGUUCCACCAGCCAUUAUGAUAUCAUAAACAUUUUUAUAAUAAAUUAACCUUUUGCUAUUGUAAAUUGAAGUUUACUUGGUUUUGGCAACCGAAAGAGUCUUUUCUUCCCCAUCUGAGUUUUAAGCAAAUUAAGACAUUGAAACAGGUGGAGGAAAGAGAAUGUCAGCUUUAUUUCUCCUCAGCUAUUGGAUCACAUGACUUUACAUCUAUAUCCAGAGGGCCUGCUCUCCCUCCCUCCCCUCCAGUCCAACCUGGGGAAUGGCGGGAUCUGCAUAACAAGCGAAGACUCUCAGCUGUCCCAGUGGAGAACACGGCAAGAAAGCCAUUCCCAACUUUAAGGUCUUCUAGUCGAUCAGUUCUGCCUCAUCCAGAAAUAUGGACCAGCAAGUAACUUGCUCCUCUUAGGGAGUAUUGAGCUCCCAGGAGACCCCGUAAAGGGCAGGGUGCAGGGUGAGGAGAGUCACUCUAAUGGAAUUUUUUUAAUAGAUGAAAACACAAGGCCAGCAGAAUGGAGGCAUCCCACUGUGAGUGGAAAAUGAAACCUGAACCUCGACUCUCAAGAUUCCUGAAUGCCCCGCUCAUUGUUAGUCCAACAUUCAAAUGGGCAGCUAGCGAGAGUAAGGCUGGGCACAGCCUCUUAACCAGCAAAUUGUUUUCUGUUUACACAUCUGCAGGUUCCCUCCCCAUGUUUUGGCUGGGAUCAGUGCAGAAGCUUCUUGGUUUUUCUCUAGCACCUCCCACCAGUGCCUAAGAUUGCAGAUGGGUGUCUCUCUGUGAACACCUAGCGUGUACAAACCUUAAUAACGUUACAUUAAGAUGCUUGAGCCUGGGAAGGAUCUGCUUUGAGGGGACAGCAGAUUUAGCUAAUAGACAUGGCAAGUGGUGAGAAAAGUCACCUGCUUCAGUGCUUGCUCAUUGUGGCAUUCAUGAAAACAGCUAGAUGGAGAAUCGUUCUGAAAGUUAGUGAACAAUAGGAUAGCAGGGGAAAUCUGAGCAUAACAAUAAAUCUUCAUUGUUGCUCUUGGCAAUCCAGAGUUUUUCACAGAGAGAGGCUAAAAGGCUAACUAUAUAUUUAAAGACUGGCCCCCUUUCCUGGAUGCGUGUCUACUGUAAAUGGCUUUGAUUUUUCAACAUAGGAUGACUUUUUCCAGUUUUGCACAUUUGAGUGCAUGCACACUGCUGUUUGGAGUUUCAGAUCUUUCUAAAAACUGAUUCACACAGGCACCUAACCUCUUUAACCCCUUUCUGCCACCUACCAUCUCUGUGAAUACAGUGCUUGCAGUUUUUCAAAGACAGAGGCUUCAGAAUUUGGCAGCAAAAAAAGUGAUGGCUUCUAACACAUUAACAGUGUGGUUAACGACAGCAGUUGCUUAAAACUCUGCCAUGCCUAACUUUCCAUCGUUAAGUGUGGUCACACUGGUGACAUUUAUUUAGGAACUGGGCACACAACUUAAAAUUUUAUGCUCAUAACCUAUUUGGGGUUUGAGGUAUUCUCUCCUACGUAUGUUUUAUCUGUUCAUAAAGAGGAAGCUUUUUUUUUUUUUUUUUUUUAAAGAAAAAGGCUGAUGUUUAGCUCCUGUUGAUUUGUAAUGGCUGAAAAGGAGUUUGAAGCAUGUUGCUUUUCAUCUCCUUUCUGCUAUUAAUUUUUAGUACUUUCAUUUAUGUCUGCAAAAAGCAGUUAAAAGUAAAAGUCCCCAGGUAAGAGUGUGUAAUUGGCAGGCUGGGGUGGAAGGCAGGGGCCCACCAUGGUUUUAAGAGAAUGCAAAGGGGAGGCCGAGCUGUGCAUUGUCAAUGGUAAAAACUUUCAAGAGAGGCGGAAAUUGUAAUUUGAGCUUAAUUUCUAAAUGAGGCUCAUUUUCCAGCGUCCCAGCCCUCCUCUCAGUGGCCUCCUGGCUAGUGGGUCAGACUGCUGGCACACCAUGAUGGCACACAGAAGACCCGAGGGAGCAGAGGGACAAAGGAGAAGCAGAGACCAGGGGAGAAAAACCUGGAGGUGUAUAAGAAUGUAUUUAUAAACGUGUAGCCUGUUAAAACCUGACCAUGCAAAUGGGAUGUGUGGCCAAGGCAUAUGCCCCAAGGGAGGAGAAAGUCUUUUUCUUCCCAAUUUCAAAAUGUCGGGUAAGCAAGUGACUGAGGGUUCUGGGUUUUCAUAUGCACAUAGAGAAAGGGAACAAAGUAUGAACUUUUAUUAAAGUAAGGUGUACUUUUAUGUCUCACAAUAAGUUAUUAAGUUCCUCUACUUAUUGUCUAGCACUGCAAUAUAUAUGCAUAUUCUAAUGGGGAGUUUUUAAAUCUUUGAGGAGAUAAAAGGCAAAAAUGUGAAAUGUCUUGGAAAGCAAUUAAGUCAGGGAUAUAAACCAUAAGAGCAGUGUGCGCCAAGAUGGGGGUUUUCGCCUGGCGUGUAGGCGAUCCCCAUGUUGAGAUCUAAUAUAGUUUUGAAUACCACGUCUCCGAGGGGAUCAUCCCCCAACACGGAUUCCUCUCAUCAGAAUCUUUCUUGAAGUCUUUGUCCUUAUUUAUUUUUUGUUACCAUUGGAAUCUGUAAGAUGAGCAGAUAAUUCAUCAAGAAGCGAGCCACGAGUAAGUGAACACAUGGGAACAGGGACUGAAGCAGAGGGCAGGAUGCGGAGAGACCAGAGGGAGUCUGUGGAUCAGCAGGAGAUCUCCUUGGGGAAAGGGAGCAGAGCUGGCAGAGGGGGUGGAGGAGCUGCUGAAGCCCACCCAGCAGCGGAGGAAAGCGUGGGUGUGCCCAUGGGGAGGGCACUGGCCCAAUGGGGACAUGGCAGAAAUGAGACCCAAGCCUGAAUUGGAGGCCCUGAAAGGUAACAUUAGGAGACUGGUCUGGUGGUCACUAAGAGCAUGUAUGUUCUCGGGCAUGGGUUUGAGGAGAUUCAGCACGUGACAGGAGGACAGCCAGGCAGCCGCACGCAGGGUAGACUGGAUUGGGAAGCUAUCCCGCUCUGAGAUGGGGAGAGAGUUUGAAUCAUAGUACUAUCGUUGGAAAAGAGAGAGCACUGAGAAAUCAUGAAGACUUUCAGAGGAAGAAACGACAGUAUUUAGUGGCAAAUAUAAAGGCAGGAGUCAGCAAACAUUUUCUAUAAAGGGCCAGAUAGUAGACACUUAGAGUUUUGUGGGCUGGCCUCCAGUUGAUAAUUGUCACUACUCGGCUCUGCCAUGGUAGUGUGAAAGCAACCGGUGACAAUACAUCCAUGCUUGCAUGUGGCUGUGUUUGCCCCAAGGGCCAUAGUUUGCCAACCCGAGAGGAGGGAUGAAAAAACAUUUUUAACCUUAGAGAAUCGAAGUAGACAUUAGGUAAAGGCUGUUAACCUCAUAAUCGAGAUUUCAUUCACCCACUCAGAAUUGCUGACAACACUUUCUUCCUGAGAUGCUAAACUUCCAGGUUUUCCCAGGUUCUCCUGCCCCAGCAUUCCUUGGCGUGGAGCUCUAGGGUGAUAGUAGGCUUGCGUAUGCAGAUAGAGAAACAGAACAGUUUAUGAGAAGUAGCCCUCUGUCUGGUGAAUGGCUCCCAGCUCACAUCCUCUAGCUGAUGAAAUUGUCACACAGAAAUCUCAGUGAGCACACUGGGAAAGUGAGCUGUUCCUGGUAGGACAGAGUUGGCCCCUGUUUUUACAAUGCCAGUGCAGCCCAGAAGAUGAGAGGCAGACUUGAUGGGCACGGUGUAGGGACGAGAGGUCCCAGCCACUUGCGAGUGGCUUGCUUUUCCAAGGAGUGGAUGAUGAGGGAGAAAAGGAUGUCCAGAGGGCCGUCCAUCUAGCUUGGCACCAGCACAGGAGAGCCAUGGAAGCUCAGCAGGCAGGCUGAGCGUCAGGACUGUGGUCUCUGCAGAAAAGUGGGUGGCUUCUUUAUGUGGAUACCUGCUGGAGUGUGCUGUUUUUUAAAAAACAGGUUACUGGGAAGAACAUUAUCCACAACACAACAUCUAUAUAUACCAACACAUAGCAUAUGCACACUCCUCUACAUGUUUAUAUAUACACAUCGUUUCUGGUUUAUUUUCCUCUUACUCAAAAUACAUUAUGUCGCCCAAUUUUGUUUUCUCAUUUAAUGUGGAGCUCUUUAUGGUGGUGUUAAGUGUAAUUUUAGCUUUGCAUUUUGUGAGGCCCACCCGUGUUGGGCUGGGGAUGAAGGAGAGUGUCAUCUGGAUAGGUGGCAAGAAGGCAGUACUGCUAGAUUUUUAUAGGACAACCAAAGGCCAGGGUGUGGAGGGUUUUUUGGUUUGUUUGUUUGGUUUUUGCCCCCUUUUCUGCUUAAAGAUUUUGCCUCAUUAAAUUUUUUUUUUUUUUUUUUUUUAGUUCAGUGAUUCUAUGGCUAUCUGUAGAGUGAAACGUCAUUUUUCCUCGGGGGUGGCAGAUGAGUUAGUGGACUCCUUAGGGGAGACUCUGCCUGGUCCCUUUGCCCUCUCCCUGCAGGGCACCACCCUGGCCUGCCUCCUUCCAGGGAACCCUGUCAGAGCUACGGAGCUGAAGCAGCCUCCCCCUUCAGACCUCAGAGAGCGUUUCUCUGACCCUUUCUUCUGCCCCUCUGGCUGUCUUUCCCUGUAGUGUUUAAGCUCCCCACGGCCUUGCACAUGGUGGGCACGAGGUGCCUGCUGAGCACAUGAGAGGACUGUGAGCUGUUUGAGUGUGGAGCCCGUGUCUCACUCACCUUCGCAGCCCCUGUGCCUAGAGAGCUAGCACACUAACCAGUGUUGGCCGAGUGAGAAGCGAGUAGGUGAGUGAUGAAACAGUGAUGAGCUUGACCCCACAUGCAGCAGACUGGGUUCCCAGCCUUGUUUCUGAGCCCCACCCACCCCCAUCUGGUCCUCUUGUCCUUUCGGCGAGGAGCUGAACUCGGAAACGUAAUGAGCCAAUGGGAGAUGAGCUGAUAUUUAUUAAUGGCGGGGCAGAUGCCUAGGAGUGCCCAUCUGUGCUGGGUGGAACCCACCAGUGGGCCUGAUAUGGGAUCUCCUCCUCUCCCUCCCUUCCUCAACAGGGUGUGGGAGGGCCUGAGGAUCGAAGCCAGAGUUGUCUCCCGUGUUCUCUCCUGAGCUCAGAGGGGACCGAGCUUCCCUUCUCUCUCAAGACACAGGAAGGAGAAUGAGAGGCCAGAUGGUACAAAUGUCCCACACUCUCACCCCAGAUUGGUCCAACUUUUAGUCAAACCAGCGCAUGAGAGGAGCAGUAGAGGGACAGAAGCAAGAACAUGAUAGAUGCCGAGACAAGAUUUGGUACAUGAGAAGGUAUUUAAGAGAUCUUGAAAUUUUCCUACAGGAGAAAAAGAGAAAAUGAGGAGAAGGAAAGCAUUUGUGCUGUGAGAACUAACCGAUAAAUUAUACUUAAAUAACUUCCUGAAUAAGUAUAAAUCAUGCAGUUACAUAAAAUCAUUUUGAUUUCAUUAUGUUCGUAUUAAUACAUUCUAAUUUUCAGGUGCACAUGCCUAAAGGCACAAGGGUCCUAAACACACAAUAAUCAAAAAAGCUAAUUAAUCACAAAUGAGCAAGUUUCCCAAAUAAUUUUAGUACAGUUACAAUUAAGAAACUGCACAAAAGUAGGAUAAAAAUACACAAGCAGACAAGAAACUUCAUUAUAAGGUAUAAAAACCAAAGAAGAAAACAGAGGAGCCUCAUUUCCUAAGCCAGGUAAUGCCUCUAAAUGUAUUUGGGGGGAUAACAGAGGAAAAGGGUCAUUUCAGAGACCUCUGGCCCUAACCAUGCCUUUUCUCUGUUUUCCUUAUUAAUCUGGUGAAUCUUGACUCAUGCCUCUCUUAUAUUAAUGAUUUCUUCUAGCUUUGAGGGAUCUAGAAGUCUCAAAAGCACCCCUCUUAUUUCUGAGUGGCUGCUAAGAACUAUAAAUAGAACAGGGACAGGUGCGGGGGUUGGUAAGAUGAUACAAGACACCCCUUUCCAUGUGUACACAUUCAUUAAUCAGAAUUUUUUGCAUAUAAAGGUUCAACAAGUUUUAGAUCCAUCUCAAUAAGCAGUUGAGCCCUCUUUUCUCUUUUGCAAGUAAAUUAUAGGAACUUCAGCCAAGUGCUUUGCUAUAGUCAUAAUGUGCUUUAUCUAUGGCAUUUUCUGGCCUACCCUCCCAGUAAAUGCAACCAUAAGUGAUGAUAAGAAUGGGAGGUUAGUCAGCACUAUUUUACUUCCAAGAGUCAGAAACCCAGCUAAAGCAAAA